CAGCAGGAAGGCGGGAAGCUAGGGGUUUCCCAUCCGCAAAUCCCCUUAAGGCGGGCCGUACGCUUGCGGCGUCGCAUCGGCCAAUGCAGGGCCCGUGCCAAAGCUAGGAAGUUCUGCCUUCGGUGGUGGCUUUGCGUAUGAACCGGGCCAGGCCGGAAGGAGCAACCCUAAGUAUAGAGCUUUUGUGUGUCAUGCACUUGGCGUACAAAAAGCUAUGCUCCGGAGAUACAGGACAGAGUGGAGGCCGGCAAACCCUGCACGAGCCGCUGCGGCAAAGCGGGCUCCUGCUG
rnacentral:SRP_RNA from 1 species